ensembl:snRNA U2 U2 spliceosomal RNA
UUGUCCGGCCCUCGGCCUUAAGGUGCGAAGCACCCUGAUGUCAGUUUAAUAUCUGAUAUGUCCCCCCGCGUGGGACUACAUAUUAAGCAAAUUUUUAGAACAGGGAGUUGGCAAAGGGGCUUUCUAUAACCGCUCCACGCAUCGACCCAGUAAGGCAGUGCCUCUGGAAGGUGUGCAUUUUAU